rnacentral:rRNA from 1 species
AUUGAACGCUGGCGGCAGGCCUAACACAUGCAAGUCGAGCGGAUGAAGGGAGCUUGCUCCCUGAUUUAGCGGCGGACGGGUGAGUAAUGCCUAGGAAUCUGCCUGGUAGUGGGGGAUAACGUUCCGAAAGGAACGCUAAUACCGCAUACGUCCUACGGGAGAAAGCAGGGGACCUUCGGGCCUUGCGCUAUCAGAUGAGCCUAGGUCGGAUUAGCUAGUUGGUGAGGUAAUGGCUCACCAAGGCGACGAUCCGUAACUGGUCUGAGAGGAUGAUGAGUCACAAGGGAACUGAGAAACGGUCCAGACUCCUACGGGCGGCAGCAGUGGGGAAUAUUGGAAAAUGGGCGAAAGCCUGAUCCAGCCAUGCCGCGUGUGUGAAGAAGGUCUUCGGAUUGUAAAGCACUUUAAGUUGGGAGGAAGGGCAUUAACCUAAUACGUUAGUGUUUUGACGUUACCGACAGAAUAAGCACCGGCUAACUUCGUGCCAGCCGCCGCAGUAAUAC